ACCUGGCCAACUGACUGAAGGAGAUCCAUAUUUGUGCCCAUUCCAAAGACAGCUUAGUGUCAACACUAGGAUCCUGCCCCUUGUGAAAGACCAGGCUGUGGAUGCUGUGCUCCUGACAGCCAGGUGGAAGGAGUUGCUGUCAUUUGAGGAUGUGGCUGUGUUCUUCACCAAAGAGGAGCAGGAAAACCUUGACUCAGCCCAAAAGUACCUCUACAGAGAUGUUAUGCUGGAGAAUUACAGAAACCUGAUCUUCUUGGGUAAUGACUUGGUCUUUAAGAUUUGGCUUUGUUUGUGUGUUUUCAGUGUCUGCCCAAGUCUUCAGUCCCUUAUCUGCAAUUCCAAAAUCAGAAAAAGCUGAAAACUGGAAGAUUUUUCAUAACUUACUUGGCUACAAAAAUCUGACCUGAAACUAUCGGGUGGCAAAACUUGAUUUUAUUUGACAGGAAGCUAUUUUUGUGCGUAUCAAUAUAGUUAGCCUAAGAAGUAAUCACUUGAUGUCCAUAACCUAUAUGAUUUAGAAUUAUCAGUGUGUUUGAGGAUACAGCUGUAAGCCCUUUUGGAGGCAUUAUGUAAUAUAUAUGCCAGCUUACCUUUCUAAAAUCUCAAAAAAUUCUGAAUUCUGCAAUACAUCUGUCCCCAAGGGUAUCCGAAAAGGGAUUGUGGACAUGGUGAUGAAUAGUUGCUUUUUGUUUUUAGAGUUCAGACACACUUAAUCCAUUCUCC